UACGGAGGAUCCGAGCGUUAUCCGGAUUUAUUGGGUUUAAAGGGUGCGCAGGCGGGAGAUUAAGUCGGCGGUGAAAUUUUGCGGCUCAACCGUAAAAGUGCCUUCGAUACUGGUGGUCUUGAGUGUGGAUGAGGUAGGCGGAAUUUGUGGUGUAGCGGUGAAAUGCAUAGAUAUCACGAGGAACUCCGAUUGCGCAGGCAGCUUACUAAACUACUACUGACGCUCAGGCACGAAGGCGUGGGGAUCAAACAGGAUUAGAUACCUCCGUAGU
rnacentral:rRNA from 1 species